GCCACAGCAGAGGAGGAUCCUUUUCUGAGAGCUUCAAAGGGUGAAAGGCUAGUGACCUUACAGAUGCACCAAAGGAGGCCAUGGAUAAUGAGGAGCUGUUUGUAAAUGGAUAGUGAGCCCAGACUCCCAUGGCAGACAGCUUCAUGGCUCCAGGGCUACAGCAUCCCCUCAUCCUGAACUUCCUUCUCUUGUUGUUUCCUAAAACCUUGUGGACUUUGAAAGCCUGAGGAGGACAGAAUCUCAGCACCUCCUCCCACAGCUGUGUUCUGAGAGGAUCAAACAGCACAGUUCUUCUCCAUCUGAAACCAGAGAACUCCUAAAAAACAACUGAAGCAAUGAAGUAUUUUACACACUCAGCAACCCAACAUUUUUUAUAAUGAUCCUAAAUACUUUUGGUGUUAAAAGAGUUUCUUGUCAGUUCCUGCCUGUGUUGAACCUCAUGGCAGCUCACAAAUUUUCUUAACUGUUGUUGCUUUUGUGUGAAUGAUGCUCUAUUUCCUGUGA